AUUGUAUCACGUAAAUACGUUUUAUAACAGUUAUCUUAAAGUCUAUAAAUCAUGGUUAUUAGUACUUGUAAUAAUGAGAACUCUUAAUAGAUUCAAUGCAUCGUAUUGAAGAUUUUGGAAAUUUGCCAGAAGCAAUUGAUAAUAAUGUUCUUUCAUGCAACAGAUGUGUAAAUAUAUGCACAUUUUCAAAGGACAAUCGAUAUUUAAUUUUAUCAUUAAGAGUAAAUCGAACAUUUCCUGAAAAGGGGGAUUUAUUAAUGUAUCAAUUAUAAUUUCCGCGUGUAUAAAUGACUAUCAAGGUCUCGCGCCAUUAUCAUCGAUUUAAAAUAUCAAAGUAUUUAUAAGUGCGCAUGCCCGGACUCAAAUGGCGCGGCAGAACACAUACAAGAACGAUUGAGAUAGAAUAUCAGCGAGACUAGUGGAACUGAGAAAGACACCAAAGUAAAAUGGCUGCAACUAGUGCCAACAUAUACUUACACUUGUACUUUUCACGUAUCUUUUGGUAAUUUUCGAGCAUGAUCUCACGUGAUAUUUGACCACGAUUAAGUGCACGGUCACCAAUGGAACGCGUGGACACAACAUGGCUGCUAGACGCGCGAAGCAACCAAGACGACUUCGCUUCGAUACUGAAGCACGAUAAGUGUACGUACGCCACGUAUGACCGACUAUCACUGUCUGUUGCGCUCGCCUGCGUUACGAGGGGAUGAAGGGACUGCGUAUAGUUCUGGUUCAAUCAUGCUUCACGCAACGUCGCUGACACAUACGAUCAACUGUCAAGUGGGGAAAACGGUACCUAAAAGACGGAAAUAGAUGUAAAUGUAGGAAUAUAAUACCUAUAGUGUGUUGCCAAGUGUAUUUCCUUAAGGUGUGAAAUUCCAUUAAUUUGUGAUGUGUUAAUCGCAUCGACAAUCUAUAAUCAUCAGCGAAUUUUCAAUUUGCAUGAAUAAAUAUUGAUUAUUUUAAUAUUAAAAUAUAAAAAGAAAGAAAAACAUGUUUAUGAUCUUCGUUUUGUCGUCGAAAUAAUUAUAAUUACAUAUAAUAACCUAAAAAUCAAUGAUUUUAAUAAACACAGAUUAAAUAAGUAUUUGAAUUCAACGAAGCAAACUAGAGCUUCUUUCUUUCGCAUGCAUUUCGCAUCUAUAAAGGAUCAAUUAGAAUGUUAGAAUUAAAAUAUUCUAAUUAUUUGUCUGGCAUAGACUAUAUUUUUUGAUGCGUAAUACGUCAUCUUAUAAAUCGUAGAAAAACAUUGUGUGCGCACGCAUCUAGUAUACGUCGCUUCGAUUUCCUACCUGCUGAUAUUUGAGCUUUCUGUAAUCGUUACUAUUUUCUUAGCAGCACUGUGUCAAUGUUAUGAUUAAUGAAUCAGUUGCGUCCUUCGAACGGCCAUUCUCACAUUUCUACUUCCGUAUGUUAUGUACUCGCCAUUAUUCCUGACACAAUUUUUCCAAUUAAUUAUAGGCAAUAUGCGUACAAGCGACAGUUGCGAGAACUUUUUGCAUAUUUUAAUGCAAAUGUUUCAUUUUUAUUAGAAAUUAUGUAAGCAAUUUGUAGGCGUUAAGAAUUGAGUUCUUUUUUUUUUUUCGAUAUAAUUCUGUUUAA